rnacentral:piRNA from 1 species
GUGACUUCUAAAGGGAUAGGCUGAUGGCA